GCAAGGCUAAAACUCAAAGGAAUUGACGGGGGCCCGCACAAGCGGCGGAGCAUGCGGAUUAAUUCGAUGCAACGCGAAGAACCUUACCAAGGCUUGACAUGAACCGGAAAGACCUGGAAACAGGUGCCCCGCUUGCGGUCGGUUUACAGGUGGUGCAUGGUUGUCGUCAGCUCGUGUCGUGAGAUGUUGGGUUAAGUCCCGCAACGAGCGCAACCCUCGUUCUAUGUUGCCAGCACGUGAUGGUGGGGACUCAUAGGAGACUGCCGGGGUCAACUCGGAGGAAGGUGGGGACGACGUCAAAUCAUCAUGCCCCUUAUGUCUUGGGCUUCACGCAUGCUACAAUGGCCGGUACAAAGGGUUGCGAUACUGUGAGGUGGAGCUAAUCCCAAAAAGCCGGUCUCAGUUCGGAUUGGGGUCUGCAACUCGACCCCAUGAAGUCGGAGUCGCUAGUAAUCGCAGAUCAGCAACGCUGCGGUGAAUACGUUCCCGGGCCUUGUACACACCGCCCGUCAAGUCACGAAAGUUGGUAACACCCGAAGCCGGUGGCCUAACCCCUUGUGGGAGGGAGCUGUCGAAGGUGGGACUGGCGAUUGGGACUAAGUCGUAACAAGGUAGCCGUACCGGAAGGUGCGGCUGGAUCACCUCCU
rnacentral:rRNA from 1 species